rfam:Pseudogymnoascus pannorum VKM F-4517 (FW-2822) contig_2186, whole genome shotgun sequence.
GUUUCCUGAUGAAAAAACAUUUCAAACAGUUCUGCUUCUGAACACCUUGAUGAUAUCCCAUUACCAAAAAUAUUUUUCUGAAAA